rnacentral:lncRNA from 1 species
CUUCAUCGUCCCGUCAGGGGUGGCCCUGACCCUCCCGGCCUCUGCUGCCCUGGCUCUCACUGCCUGAGAUCAUGACCUUCUGCUUUCGAUGGGAGUUCCUUUCCACCUGACAGCCCUGAUGCUGGCCCUGGACUUAUCGCUGAGAUCCCAGGCCUCCGACUGGACGGAAACACCUGCUUCCCUGAGCGGCCCCGAAGGAGGUCACAGAGGAGCCUGCUGCCCCCAGGCUGGGGGAGGGAGACCACUGAGGGGAAGAGGAAAGAUCACACACCAGGCAACAACUGCAUACACAGGAGAGACACUAUGUCCGGACUGCAAUCGGGGGCCUUCUACAAGGGCCUGGGGCCCCUGGGAGCACCUGACCCCAUGCGAGGCUCCAGGUGAAGUGGGGGAGGGGCAGGAAGGCAAACACACACCUGCAGACCUGGGAGAAUGGCCACUCCAAGGGAUGGCCCCAGCCGAAUGGCCCGUCUCCUGGGGGCGCCUCUGAGCCCAGCUGGGAAACUGCAGUGGGACCCGCAUCCAAGACAGGGUGCAGCUGGCCACAGGGACCUGCCGGUGACACCCUCUAGCGCCCUCCACCAACCGGCAGUCAUAGCGCCCGGCCUGGGUCUCCGUGGUGUUGGGCAACAUCAGGCUGGUUCAAGAGCAGGUGUCCAGGAGUCACGGGAGUGAAGGGGCUGACCCUUCAAGAGCCCCCUGGGGGGGCCAGGUGGGAGAAGGGGCUGCAGGGCAGGUGGCACUGUGGCCCGCCACCGCUGUGACAUUCUACAUUGGGGUCUCUGGGAGGUAGGUGGUAGUCGGGUGCUUACAGAGUGUAGAGGCCCAAGGCCAAGCGCCUCCUCUCCACUCCCAUACCUCUUUGUCCACCUGCCCAACCACACACCCAUCUAUGCACCCAUUCACCACCACCCUCCCACCCAUUCACCCUUCCACCCAUCCCCCCAUCUGCCCACCCUCCCACAAAUGCAGGCAUCAUCCAGGAUUCAACCCCAGCUUCCCCAUCCAUGCAUCGGUGCGACUAUUCUCAGUCUAGCACUCAUUCUCCAAGCCCCAGCUCUGUGUCUCCUCCUCCAGGCAGCCCUCCGGACUCUUCAGACAGAGCACCUGCCUCAUGCCUGAUCCAAUGCAGCUGAGAGUGAAUGUGUCUGACUUGGCCUCCCCAGACUGGGGGCUCUUUGAGGGCCUGGGGCUGAAGCUCCUUGAGGGCCCAGCAACCGCAGUGGGGGGUGGGUACUGAGGAGAAGACCGGUGAUCUCUGUCCACAGCUUGUUGAAGAAUCAACCAGGCCUCUUCAUGGGGCAUAAUCUCCCCCAUCAGUAGAAAAGCCACUGUCAUAGGAGCCCAAUAAAAAGGCCACAGGAAAGGAAGGAAUUUGGGCU